CCAACCCUGGAAACGGUUCAGCCGGAGGUAGGGUCCAGUGGCCGGAAGAGCACCGCACGUCGCGCGGUGUCCGGUGCGCCCCCGGCGGCCCAUGAAAAUCCGGAGGACCGAGUACCGUUCACGCCCGGCAGCACUCAUAACCGCAUCAGGUCUCCAAGGUGAACAGCCUCUGGCCAAUGGAACAAUGUAGGCAAGGGAAGUCGGCAAAACGGAUCCGUAACUUCGGGAAAAGGAUUGGCUCUGAGGACUGGGCUCGGGGGUCCCGGCCCCG
rnacentral:ncRNA from 1 species